UUUCAGUGGAUCCCUUGGCUCGUGCAUCGAUGAAGAACGCAGC
rnacentral:rRNA from 3 species